rnacentral:rRNA from 1 species
UACAGGGGGUGCAAACGUUGCUCGGAAUCAUUGGGCGUAAAGCGCACGUAGGCGGUUCGUUAUGUCGGAUGUGAAAGCCCUUGGCUUAACCGAGGGAGUGCAUCCGAAACUGGCGAGCUAGAGUACUAAAGAGGAUCGCGGAAUUCCCGGUGUAGAGGUGAAAUUCGUAGAUAUCGGGAGGAACACCGGUGGCGAAGGCGGCGAUCUGGGUAGAUACUGACGCUGAGGUGCGAAAGCGUGGGGAGCAAACAGGG